UUCGCUCAAGACCUCGUAACCCCGAACCAACAUCACGUCUCAGUUGCGAAAAAAAUAUCACGUCUCCAACUCCAACCAUAGCUCUCCCCUCUCCCCCAGCCGCCACAGAACUCCUCCCUGUUCCCAUCGCCGCCGCCCGCCGCUUCUCCUCUCCUCUGCUACCCCAGGCGCGAGGAACCAACCUCCCGAAGCAACCGGAGUGGCAAAGCGGCGGAGGAAUGGAGAGAUGGCGUCUGCGAUGGCGGGGAAAAAGAUGGGGCGGGCGUCCUACAUCCGGAUCAAGCACGAGGAGGAGCGGCACGAGGCGUCCUGGAAGGAGCCCGAGGGCUGGGUCUUCUCCGCCACCACGCGCACCGAUGUCGCCGCGUGCCUUGGCGAGCUCCGCGACCAGAUCCUCGCUGGUUGCGCCUCCUUCCCGACCUCGCCGCACAGCACUCCGGCUGCUCCUCCGCCCGCCGCGGCGGCGACCUAGGUACGCCUCCACUUGCCCCACUUACGCGCUCUGCAGGCUUUCAUAUAGGGUCUCCGAUCGUGGCGAACCAGAAGCACCAGCCCAGGAAGAGCUCGACAGCGUGGAGGUCCUCCCCAGCCAGUAGUACGUGACCAGCCCGAGAUCCGCCGCCGAGCCAAGCACUUCUCCUUUCUUUUUCUUCUUCUGUUACCCAGCCAAAACAAUUUUGUGGAGAACAAUCAUAUCUGGUUAGGAUCCACACAGGAAUCUACAGCACAAAUAAUGGAGGAGCUACUACAAUAGAGGAUGGACCUGUGGUUGCUUCCCAGCUCUUUUCUUCAAAACAAUCUGAGAAAGAGUACAAAGGAAAUUGGAGCAUAUGGAAAAUUGCUCAGGAAUAUCUCCAUCUUAUGCUUAUUGCUUCGAUGUACAGUGACCUAUAAAAGGGUGAAAACAAUCAGUGAGAUACUUCUCUGGAUGUAGAGCUCUCUGGCAUACGCCUAAAAGAUAAAAUUAUAUUUUUUACAUUAUUAUUCUCAAUACUAUAGUUGAACAUUCAUUACCUUGUGGUUCGUACUUGGUCCCAGCCUCCCAAGCAUAAAUCUGAAGUUGUUCUGUAUAGGGGAGUGAAUUGUAUGAGAGUGUGUUUCCAGGCUUAAAUCUGAAAUUGUUGUGUAUACUAUAUGUGCAUGCAGUGUGUAUGGUAGAACCAAUCGAUUUGCAGAAGAUAGCAUGAACCGGAAGGGUAAUCGGUGCCGCCACCGGAAGGCUCGGCAGUGCUAAUCACCGGAACUACACUACCGGCAGUGCCAUCCAAAUCCUCGGAGACGCUCAAGCUACAGGAAUUUGGACCGUCCUGCAAGAAGAAUCAGUUGAGAAGAUUGGACUAUGCUACUUCUCUAAGGCUGAGUAUACACUCUUUGUUGUUAAUUGUAGUGAUAGUUACUAUUAUUGAAUUGCUAAGGUGACAAACUGACAGUUAUUGCUUGAUGAGCUUACUCUUGUUCAUCACAUUGCAUCCCUCUUACACGGGAAUCAUCAAAUGUUCACACAUAUGUAUGUCCUUUAGUUGUCAUUUGCUCUUUUUUAUUUUUUCUUCCCUUUUUUGUGUGGAUAAUCCAAUUUCUUAUGUUGUCAAUGGAUCUUAAACAUCUUCACUUCUGAUUUCUAUUUCAAACAGACAGUGCAGCUUUGACGGCCUCUUAUUUCAUGCCGACAAGUGUAUUUUGUUCCAUUAGAAAUAUAUAACUAUAUUUUAUUCCUGAGAGAGCAAUCUUAUACGGGAAUAUAGUGUUGUAUUUUGUGCACCCUCAUUUGGCAAGAGUUCAGGUUACUAUUUGUCUCUGUGUGAAAGUUCUCACAUUAGUUCAUGCAGAAUAUGUCUAUAUUUUUACCAAGGGGUUCCAAUGAUUCGAGGACUGCAUAUGUGCAGAUCUAGAAACUCUUUCUUCCCAAGAUGGGCAAUGUGCAGAUCUAGAAAUGGUAUGUCCCCUAUGCGUGUAUGACUGUUGGUGGAGAUGUUCAUACUUUAGGAUCUUUGGUUCCUGAGUUAGUGAGGUGCAUGCUCUCGACCCUGACAUCUACUUACUCUAUUGUCAUCUAUAGUCUGUAUUGUGCUCUGCGCUUAAUGUGCAUUGGGUGCAUAGCAGAACAUGAAUUUCAGAUGCCCUUAUUUGUUUGAUGAAAUGCCUCCUUGAUCUGCAUGCCAGGUAUUAUAGCAUACUGUAUAUGGCUUCUAAGCUCUUUGAAAGUUUAGGACACAAUAGGAAGUCAUAUUACAGCGGUUUCCGAUUAAUAACAAAGCUGAAAGCACAAUCUCUAUUUUUCGAGGACAGCAAAAUUGUUUUCUAGAACUGAUAGUUUCUUCGGUAUUUUUUUGUUUGCUUUCUGUUACUUUAUAACUGAAUAUGAAUAUGCAGUUAGCUUAUUUUUCUUUUAUGUGAUAUGUGAGUAAAUAGCAGUUAGCUGCAUGGGUUACUGUGGUUUCAAGCUCAACUUUUGUGUUAUCUAGCUGCAGUGCUAGGACUGGUUGUUUCCCAAAGAGAUGAUAUGACCAUGAGUUUAUGGCGUUUUUGAGCUUGAUGUCUUCUGUAUAAGAGAAAUGAAGUCUUCGGCAUGUACACUGUGUAAACAAUCAUUGGAAAGGCGAGAGGAAGAUAAGAGGAGCAUAUAGAAGUUUGUGAUUUGUAUAGGAGGCCUUGUUGGUAUGAUUUAUUUUCCUGAUGGUAUAUUCAUCUCAUUAGGAAGGCCUUGUUGUGUGGCUUUGGUCUUCCUAAAUUUUUCUGUGAUUUUUUCUUUUCUUUUUAGGUUUGUGAAACAAUGACUAUCCUAGCACAAGAUCUAAUCAUGGAAAUUUCCUUAUUGUACAGUUUUCCAUUUUGAAAUAGUAGACCUUUCUCCAUUGUUGAGAUGUU